AUGGGCGCAAGCCUGAUCCAGCCAUGCCGCGUGCAGGAUGAAGGCCUUCGGGUUGUAAACUGCUUUUGUACGGAACGAAAAGUCUCUUUCUAAUAAAGAGGGAUCAUGACGGUACCGUAAGAAUAAGCACCGGCUAACUACGUGCCAGCAGCCGCGGUAAUACGUAGGGUGCAAGCGUUAAUCGGAAUUACUGGGCGUAAAGCGUGCGCAGGCGGUUAUGUAAGACAGUUGUGAAAUCCCCGGGCUCAACCUGGGAACUGCAUCUGUGACUGCAUAGCUAGAGUACGGUAGAGGGGGAUGGAAUUCCGCGUGUAGCAGUGAAAUGCGUAGAUAUGCGGAGGAACACCGAUGGCGAAGGCAAUCCCCUGGACCUGUACUGACGCUCAUGCACGAAAGCGUGGGGAGCAAACAGGAUUAGAUACCCUGGUAGUCCACGCCCUAAACGAUGUCAACUGGUUGUUGGGUCUUCACUGACUCAGUAACGAAGCU
rnacentral:rRNA from 1 species